ensembl:lncRNA
CCCCCAUUUAAGGGCUGGCAAGGGUAGAGGUAAGGGUGUUUUACUGAAGUUCCCUGUGUUCCUGAGGUCUUCUAGUGGAAGGAGCGUUAUUUCUCAACAUAGAACACACAGAAGACAGAAUUAACUCCAUGAUAUAGCUGCAUUACCACCCUGCUAUUCACUUCCUGACUUCAGCUCAAGUGCCUACAGGCCCUGUCCUACUAAGCUCUGUACAAGGCCUGACAUUUGACACCCAAGACCCCAGGACUUACACAGAGGCACAAGCGGAGGCCCUGGGGAAGAGCUGUGUUUGGACUGGAAAAGCCCAUCUGAGAUGUUCAGAACACCAGUCCAGAAAGAUGAACUUUUAAACACUGGGAUGUGAACCAAGCUAGCAUUCGGACUGUGGAUUUGCACUGUCAUCCAAG